rnacentral:rRNA from 1 species
AUUGAACGCUGGCGGCAUGCCUUACACAUGCAAGUCGAACGGCAGCACGGGAGCAAUCCUGGUGGCGAGUGGCGAACGGGUGAGUAAUGUAUCGGAACGUACCUUUCAGUGGGGGAUAACGUAGCGAAAGUUACGCUAAUACCGCAUAUUCUGUGAGCAGGAAAGCAGGGGAUCGCAAGACCUUGCGCUGAUUGAGCGGCCGAUAUCAGAUUAGCUAGUUGGUGAGGUAAAGGCUCACCAAGGCGACGAUCUGUAGCGGGUCUGAGAGGAUGAUCCGCCACACUGGAACUGAGACACGGUCCAGACUCCUACGGGAGGCAGCAGUGGGGAAUUUUGGACAAUGGGCGCAAGCCUGAUCCAGCCAUGCCGCGUGAG